CUGCCGGCGACCGGCGCACGGGUGAGUAACACGUAUGCAACCUGCCCUCCGCAGGGGGAUAACCCGGAGAAAUCCGGACUAAUACCGCGUGGUACAUCUGUGGGGCAUCCCACGGGUGUUAAAAGGAAGCGAUUCCGGCGGAGGAUGGGCGUGCGGCGCAUUAGCUAGUUGGCGGGGUAACGGCCCACCAAGGCGACGAUGUCUAGGGGUUCUGAGAGGAAGGUCCCCCACACUGGUACUGAGACACGGACCAGACUCCUACGGGAGGCAGCAG
rnacentral:rRNA from 1 species